UACCAGCUCUCCGAGUGGUAGGGAUGAUUAUUGGGCUUAAAGCGUCCGUAGCCGGCUUAGCAAGUCUCCUGUUAAACUCAGCGACCUAAUCGUUGAUCCGCGGGAGAUACUACUAGGCUAGGAGGCGGGAGAGGUCGACGGUACUUCCGGGGUAGGGGUGAAAUCCUAUAAUCCCGGGAGGACCACCAGUGGCGAAGGCUGUCGACUAGAACGCGCUCGACGGUGAGGGACGAAAGCUGGGGGAGCGAACCGGAUUAGAUACCCGGGUAGUCCCAGCUGUAAACGAUGCGGGCUAGGUGUUGGGGUGGCUACGUGCCACUUCAGUGCCGCAGGGAAGCCAUUAAGCCCGCCGCCUGGGGAGUACGGCCGCAAGGCUGAAACUUAAAGGAAUUGGCGGGCGAGCACCACAAGGGGUGAAGCCUGCGGUUC
rnacentral:rRNA from 1 species